rnacentral:misc_RNA from 1 species
AAGUCGUAACAAGGUUUCCGUAGGUGGCCGUGUGGGCCUCCAACGAUCGUGACUGCGUCAUCCUUACACAGGUAAUGACACUUUCAGACACUAACUGCUUGGGGAUGCCAGGCCACUUGCUUCGCACAACAUGCACGCUCCUUGCAGACGUCCCUGAAUCGAAAACUGUUCGGCGAUGAUUUACCAGGGAUUGCUGCUUUUUCUAACGGACGUACGAGUACAGGUGAAGGUUCACAGGGGGGUUUAACGUUUGGAUACGUGUUAAUGAUCCUUCCGCAGGUUCGACGACCGGGUCGCUGGGCGCAAGCCCCCCUAGAACAAACCCCCUGCCAAUCGCGGCCGCGAUAAUACGCAGUCGACCAAAAACCGAACAACUGUUAACAAUGGAUAUCUUGGUUCUC